UUGACCUCGGAUCAGGUAGGAGUUACCCGCUGAACUUAAGCAUAUCAA
rnacentral:rRNA from 1 species